rnacentral:rRNA from 1 species
CAGUCGCCGCGGUAAUACGUAGGGUGCGAGCGUUAAUCGGAAUUACUGGGCGUAAAGCGUGCGCAGGCGGUUGUGUAAGACAGGUGUGAAAUCCCCGGGCUUAACCUGGGAACUGCGCUUGUGACUGCACAGCCAGAGUAUGGCAGAGGGGGGUGGAAUUCCACGUGUAGCAGUGAAAUGCGUAGAGAUGUGGAGGAACACCGAUGGCGAAGGCAGCCCCCUGGGCCAAUACUGACGCUCAUGCACGAAAGCGUGGGGAGCAAACAGGAUUAGAUACCCCUGUAGUCCCUGUCUCUUAUAC